UUCCUACGGGAGGCAGCAGUGGGGAAUUUUGGGCAAUGGGGGAAACCCUGACCCAGCAACGCCGCGUGGAGGAUGAAGCUUUUCGGAACGUAAACUCCUGUCCAGAGGGACGAAGUAAGUGACGGUACCUCUGGAGGAAGCCCCGGCUAACUCCGUGCCAGCAGCCGCGGUAAUACGGGGGGGGCAAGCGUUGUUCGGAAUUACUGGGCGUAAAGGGCGCGCAGGCGGCUUCGGAAGUCAUGGGUGAAAGCCCCAGGCUCAACCUGGGAAUUGCCUGUGAAACCACGGAGCUGGAGUGCUGGAGAGGGAAGCGGAAUUCCCAGUGUAGCGGUGAAAUGCGUAGAUAUUGGGAGGAACAUCUGAGGCGAAGGCGGCUUCCUGGACAGACACUGACGCUGAGGCGCGAAAGCCAGGGGAGCGAACGGGAUUAGAUACCCCGGUAGUCCUGGCUGUAAACGAUGAACACUUGGUGUGGGGGGUAGGAAAGUCCCUCUGUGCCGGAGAUAACUCAUUAAGUGUUCCGCCUGGGGAGUACGGCCGCAAGGCUGAAACUCAAAUGAAUUGACGGAA
rnacentral:rRNA from 1 species